ACACUUGCGCUGCACACACCUUUUUGAAAAUAUUAUGCUUCAGACUUUUAUAUUAGACACUCAACAAUCUUCUGAACUAUCUAUACAUCAUAAAAAACUGUCGCAAUUUUUUUUUCUCCAUCAUUUAUCAUUUCUGAGGAACUGAACUGUUAUAACAUCAUCUGCAAUCAACUAUUUAUCACAGUAAAUCGUUUUUGAUUGUUACUUGAGUGGACGUUCUUUGAGUAAAUAGCUUAUACUGCCUGUCUGAAAACUGUCAAAAUGACGAGUGGUGAAGAAACUGGUGAUCUCUUUCGCCGGUUAUUUCUGCACAGAGAUGCGACAAACCUAUCUAUUGAACAGUUCAAACGGCAUUCCGAUCUACAUCAAGAAAGACGGCUGGUUAACCUAUUGGCGCUUGAAAAAGACGAUUUUGAUUCUGCAGGGGAUUUCAGGUUUCCAAAUACAAACGGAGACACACUAAAGAGAGGUGGAAUGGUUUAUUAUCAACCAAACUCCAAUUGGAUCAGAUUAGGCUUGCGAGUGAAAGGAAGAUAUGACAAUGGUAAUGAUGAUUGGCUGAUGAUGGAUGGUAACCCUCGUGAAUGGGCUGUUGCUUUCCAUGGAAGCAGCGAACAUGGAACGAGAGAAAUUCUUCGAUCUAGACAGUUUUUGACAAAUGAUCCCCGAGGUUUUCAGGCUUACAGCGAAGAUGUUGAUGUGAAUGAGCUGAGCGACACUAAAGGACAUCCAUGUGGAAGGGGCGCAAACUUUGGUGCCAAAAUUCAAAUCAGCGAGGCUUUUCACAAAACCCAUAAGGUUGAUGGCCACAAAUGUGUCUUUCAGGUCAGGAUAAAACCAGAAAAAACUAGAAUUCCAAGCUGUCAACCUGAUUAUCGCAUUGUACGUGAUUCCAAACAUAUCAGACCCUAUGGGAUAUGUCUCAAAAUGCGAAACGAAGAUAUUCUUGAUCAA